GACGAACCGUGCGAACGUUGUUCGGAUUCACUGGGCUUAAAGGGCGCGUAGGCGGUCGACCAAGUCUGGGGUGAAAUCUUUCGGCUUAACCGGAAAAGUGCCCCCGAUACUGGCCGGCUAGAGGGAGAUAGGGGCAUGCGGAACUUCCGGUGGAGCGGUGAAAUGCGUAGAUAUCGGAAGGAACGCCGGUGGCGAAAGCGGCGUGCUGGAUCUCUUCUGACGCUGAGGCGCGGAAA
rnacentral:rRNA from 1 species